UACGUAGGGUGCGAGCGUUGUCCGGAAUCAUUGGGCGUAAAGAGCUCGUAGGCGGCCUGUCGCGUCGGAUGUGAAAACCCGGGGCUCAACCUCGGGCCUGCAUUCGAUACGGGCAGGCUGGAGUUCGGCAGGGGAGACUGGAAUUCCUGGUGUAGCGGUGAAAUGCGCAGAUAUCAGGAGGAACACCGGUGGCGAAGGCGGGUCUCUGGGCAGUAACUGACGCUGAGGAGCGAAAGCGUGGGGAGCGAACAGG
rnacentral:rRNA from 1 species